UAAGACAGAGGUGCCAAGCGUUAGGCGGAAUCACUGGGCUUAAAGCGUGUGUAGGCGGACUGGUAAGUACCUUGUGAAAUCCCACGGCUUAACCGUGGAACUGCUUGGUAUACUGCUUGUCUUGAGCCACUUAGGGGCAACCGGAACAAAUGGUGGAGCGGUGAAAUGCGUAGAUAUCAUUUGGAACGCCAAUGGUGAAAACAGGUUGCUGGGAGUGUGCUGACGCUGAGACACGAAAGCCAGGGGAGCAAACGGGAUUAGAUACCCCGGUAGUCCUGGCCGUAAACGAUGUCGACUAGAUCGUGGCAGCUCUGACGCUGUCAUGGUCGAAGCAAAAGUGCUAAGUCGACCGCCUGGGAAGUACGGUCGCAAGGCUA
rnacentral:rRNA from 1 species